rnacentral:ribozyme from 1 species
GUUGCUCGAACAAUUACACAUCUCUCCGUGGUGAGCAACAGGCAACGAUCUCUUAUAAUCGGAUGAGAUGUGAUA